rnacentral:ncRNA from 2 species
AUAUUCCAAAAUUAAGUAAGUGCUCAUGUAGAAUCUUAAAUGAGUUAAAAGGGAAAUUAGUGAAAAUCUAAUGCAGCCCCCGCUACUGUAAUAGCAGAUGAAAUCACAAAAAAUCACUGUCUAAGGAUGGGAAGAUGUGAAAGUAAAAUGAAGCUUGAGCCAGGAUACCUGCUUACUUAAUAGUUACUUG